AUCUAACAAUCAGGAAUGCUUUUCACUGGCAGACAUUGUCUCCUACCUGUAAAUGGAUCAACCCCGCCUACUGGAGGUACUGCAUUUGAUGCUGAACCAGGAACAUAGCGACCAGCACCUAACAAAGAUGUCACGUUUUUAAACACCACCACCAAUAAAGAGAUAACAUAUACCUGUAUUUAGUAACUACUUUUCAACCAAGACUAUUAAAAGGGAUUUUUCUGCACUAAAGGAAUUACAAAGUAGUGUUCAAUACUUCUUUAAGGAUUAAAUCUAUGCCUGUGAGAGGAUGUUGGUGAUGACAGCAUUCGCAAGCUAAGUGAGACACUCCCACAGCUGGGAGACACUCUAACAUUCUACUGUGGGACACCAUGGAAUCUCUGGCAGGUGAAGAGGGCUUCAGCACAGCAGAUACUUUAUGCAUGACAAGUUCCAGCAGCAGUGCAGUGCACACUGCCCUGGCCUCGACUCUCUUUGUGCCUGAGCCAUGAGUGGUCUCUCCUGUGGAAGCUGCACUCACUUGCACUGAGGUCUCAGUGAGGCCUCCAUCUGCAGAGACCACAGAGCCGCAAAAGCCAUGGAGGAGAAACAGCUGGACACAGAAAGACUGUCAAGAUGGGGCAGACUGAAGGCUCAGGACCAGAGCAGUGACUGUCCCUCUGUACUUGGCCCUAGUGAGGGCACACCUCAAAUCCUGUGAUCAGUUCUGGGCCCCUUAUGACAACAAACACAUUGAAGUAAUGCAGGUAAGUCCAGAAAAGGGCAAUGGAGCUGGCAAAGAGUCUGGAGCACAGGUCUUAUGAGAAGCAGCUGAAGGAACUGGGGGUGUUUAAGUGGUGCAGGUGGAUUUUACUGCUCUCUACAAGUACUUGAAAGGUAUCAAGGUGUGGGUCAGUCUCUGCUCCCAGUAAUAGGAUGCAAAGAAGUGGUCUCAAGCUGCACCAGGAGACGUCUAGAUUAGAUAUUUGGAAAAAGUUCUAUACUGGAAGGGGGGUCAGGCAUUGGAAUAGCCUGCCCAGGGAAGUGUCUGAAGCAUCCAAAGAAUUAUGUGGAUAUGGGGAUAUGAUUUAGGGGUGAACAUGGAAGUGGUCAGUUAAUGGCUGAAUUCAAUAUUCUUAGAGGUCUUUUCCAAUCUGAAUGAUUCUAUGAUUCUAUGAAAGUGAAAUGGAUUGAAGCCUAAUGGAACAACCAUGGCCAGAGGAUGGUGAUCAGUGCAACAACAUUUACUGGAAGCCAGCCACUGGUGGUGUGCCCCAGGAGUCAGUACUGCAUCCAGUCCUCCUCCGCAUCUUCACUAAUGAUGGUGUGGAAGAUCAGAGUGCAUCCUCAGCAAGUGUGCUGAAGACACAAAACUCAGAGGAAUAUCUAAUGUCAUCACUUAAGUUUAAAAUAUUUACCUGUAAAUGGAUCUGAAAACUGAUUACUUGUACUCAACAGUGUUUGCCCCUUAGUGUUGUCCAUAAUAAACUUGGCCACCUGAUCCAGAAACAUAGGAUUUAGAUCAUUCUUUUGCAGGAAGUUGUAUGCAGUCAGCCAAGGAUCAUCAGUGAUGUUAUAUGGCAGUUUGUAGGAAGGCCCAUUUUCAUUUACAUCAAUGGUGAAAACAUAGUCAUAUUCCUUUAAGUAGAAUAAAAAUAAAAACACAUCAGAAGUCUUCCAGCACUUUCUACACAAUGAUGUAUCAAAUGCAGUCUAACAGUGGCCCAGAUCUAAGCCUAAAAACUUAAAACACGGCUACUUACAGAACAUAUCAGCAAAACUCGCCUGAGACUGCAAGUAAACAUUUGCUGAUUUAGGGUAAACAUUAAACAUUACUUAGCAACAGCCAAAACAUCAGUGUGUUGUAACACUGUUACUAUACUAUAUCCAAAACACACAGCAUUGUAUCAGCUGCUAAGAAGAAUACGAACUCUGUCUCAGCCAAAAGCAUGACACACUUAAACCUACAUUUUCCAGAAUUCUCAGCUCAAGAAGAGCAGAGUAAAACAAUGUAUCAUUAGUAAAACAAUUAUCUCUAUGUACAGAUAUGUUACAAAAUAAAGAUGCAUCGGGUCAUUCUCA